UUCUGUAAGCCGUUGAAGGUGGCCUGUGAGGGUUGCUGGAGGUAUCAGAAGUGCGAAUGCUGACAUAAGUAACGAUAAUGCGGGUGAAAAACCCGCACGCCGGAAGACCAAGGGUUCCUGUCCAACGUUAAUCGGGGCAGGGUGAGUCGACCCCUAAGGCGAGGCCGAAAGGCGUAGUCGAUGGGAAACAGGUUAAUAUUCCUGUACUUGGUGUUACUGCGAAGGGGGGACGGAGAAGGCUAUGUUAGCCGGGCGACGGUUGUCCCGGUUUAA
rnacentral:rRNA from 1 species